CUGGGGCCAAAAUGGCGUCUAUCCACGACCCUCAAAGGGAUGCAGUGCGCAGGCGCUGGCGUGCGUCAAAACGACCAAUGAGAAGACGCGACGGUGUGUUUUCCGUGAAAGAAUGUUAUCUGCUUACUUCUGCGUCUGCGCUUUCUUUGAAGCGCAAUUGAGAUACUGUUCCUAAGAAUGAAGACCCUCCAAAAGCAUACCUUACAAUCGUUCAGCCACAUAAACUACCGUUCCGGUCCUGCAGUGAGGAGCUUGAUUCCCGCCCCAGGUUCGUCGAAGUGGCGCGUCAGGCUACGGGACUUGUUUAGAGCCUGCGGCACUACGACGCAUUACUAAUUGGAAUGCUCAAAAGCACCUCCUGACAUGGCAUUUUACUUACCUUCUUUGUAAAAUAAUUACUUAAUUUCCAAAGUAAGAACCCAUUUGGUCAACAAUAAGAAGUGCAGAUCUUUGCCUCCAGAAAUGGCCCCUGGUGAAACCUUGAGGAGAUUAACUUUGCACUUUACCCUAGAGAGUCCUAUGCUCCCGAAAACAGGAUUAGGAAACCUCGCCUGUUUGUGUUCCUGGAUUGGCUCACUGUAAAGAAAUAUCCCUCUGCUUAUGCCUAAAAUAAAACACCCCCCCCCCAUUUAAUCUGUGACAAAACCAGUCAAAGACCCUUUUCCCCUCCUUUUGUCUGAGUCUGUUGAUAAGGCCAGUCACACACCUUACAAAUUCCCGUUUAUAAUCUCAAGAAUAAUUUAAUGAGAUUUGAAUUUUUUGCCAUUCUGAAACUAGCUCCAUUCAGAGCUAAACAUUUUCUGUUCACCUGACUGAAACUUCUGAUUGCAAAAUAAUGCCAAUUGCGAAUCAUCCCACCUUCCUCCCCUAAAAAUGUCUAAGGCCAAACAUCUUGCCAAGACACUGGCCAUAUCUGGGCUCCCACCCUAUUGUAAUAAGCUGAAUAAAAUCCAUUUUCUUACUUGUU